rnacentral:lncRNA from 1 species
UUUCUAUAUUCUUCUCCAAGUAGGUAGCAUCGAGCAACUACAUACCUAAUUGGCACCCAGGAGAAGGGCGUGGCCCUAGCUUUACAUCGUCUGUUUUGGCCCUGACAAUAGAAUGCUCUCCAGGAAGCAAAUCACAUCGUAAAUGGUAAAUAGCAGUUCCCCAAGACCGUCACCCAUGGGUUCGACGAACAGUUAGACAGCUCCGGAGGCAACCACCGAACCACCAGUACAUCAAACUACCACCUGACGCCUCCCGAAGAAGAUCUGGAGCUGUAGAUAACCUAGGACAGCACCGGAAGAAGCCUUCACACCACAAGCUAAGUCUUUAAUUUAAUCUUAUAUUUGCCUGUCAGCAGAGACAGUUUUUUUUAUAUAAAAUAACUUCACAAUGAAUAUGAUGUAGAUCCUGAAUUAUAACCAAUGAAAUGAGAAAAUAAAGCAUUUAUACCGAAA